CCCUCCUCGCGGCCCUCCGCCGCCCUGCCCCGUGCGGCCUCGGCGUGCAUAGUCUGCGGUCCCGGGUCCCCGCCAGCCGGGGCCGCGGCCGCGCGCGCUCUGCUCCGCCCCGUGGCUCGCAGCGGCCUGCGUGGGCGCGCCGGGCCCUCCCGCCCGGCCUCCGGAGGGGCGCCCGGGCCCAGGGGGGCGCGCGCGGGGUCCGGCAGGUAUGUGUCCAGCGCAUCGUGCUUAACACGCACGGAGAAGGAACUGGGUGCCCCCCUUGUCGCCUGUUAAAGCCCAAGCACGUAGUCGCGGGGACGCAGUAACCGUACGGAAGGCUCUUCUCCAAAACGCUCUGCGGACAGACAGUACAAACAGAAGUGAGUGGAGAAGCCCCGAAGCCCUUCUCAUUCCGGAAAAAGAUUCUGGGUUUCGGUUUCUGUUGGGAUCCCGCGCUAAAGAGCAAAUUAUUCCGACACUUGUUAAAAUGGAAAGGAAGACUCUUUAGUAUUGAUGAGAUAGGUGUCAAGACUAUGGCUACAGGAGAGAUGUCUGCUCGCCCCUGAGAACAGCAGAGACAGCUGGGGUAGUACGGCCCACAGACUGGGGAGGCCAGUGGAUCAAAUUUCCUAGAGGACCAGGGGCGGGGGAUUCUUGCAGGCGAUGGGCCCGGGGAUCAGAUAGCAAGGGUGGGAUAUUCUCCCACCCAAACUGAUGUCUCAGGAUUCUUGCUACAACUGGGCUGGGUAGGCAGAUGCCUGGAGGGGCAGGGACGUGUUCAAGACAGCCGCCCAGUGGACAAGAGAGCUCAGGAGAGCCUGACCAAAAUUGGGGCGAGCAGAGAGUUUUACUUAACCUUUCAGACUGUCCCUGAGAUUUGAGGGAAAUACUUCUUUCCCCAAGUCUUGGUGGCCAUUUCUAUUGAUGUGUAUGUGAAUUCUACUUCUCUGCCGUGGGAGAGGCUACAGCGAAGCUGUGGAGGUCUUAAUACAUGAAAUAUAGUAUGACUCACAUCUUUGAAGUGUAAAUACCGUGGACCACCCACCCGAGACCGAAGACGUCCAGUCGAUGGAUGGAGAGCAUUAGUCAAACAUUGGGAGAAAGGGGGAAAUCAGACUUUUUUGUUUGUUUUAACGAGCAGUUCUUUUUUGUGUGGAACGUUAGCAUGUGAACAGCAGGCAUUAACUCAGCUCAGAUUGACUGACUUUUCCAUCUCAGUUUUUCUGGCAAUGACUGGUUGGAAUGGAGCGGUGAGGAGGGUGUCGGCAGGAGAGGGGUACCGGGCAGUGCCGGCGCCUCCCCUUACAACAAAGCAUUCAUACAGGUCAUGAGAUGACCGAAGAGAACGAUUAUGGCAGGGUUUUGGUCCCUGAGACCUGAGGUCCCCAUGUGGCUUCGACUAGGUUUUCCCCGGGAAGAGGCCUGCCAGCGGUGACCCACCUGAAUUCUUGACUGUGAGCUCUAAGCCCACCAUCAGUUACUGUCCUGGGACCCGCUUUUGCACAGGGCCGUAACUGCUGCCGAGGUGUACUUGCAGGACCCAAGUGCGAGGGUAGGUGCAGGACCCUGCAGGCGUCCAUGUUCUGCAGGUUGCGCCACCUGCGCCCGCCCGGGUGUUCUCUGCACAAGGCAGAGCUGAACCAGAUGCUGGCCGAGCUGCUCCUCAGCUCUAUCGUUCUGCGGUUGCAUUUCCUUGACGGGUCAUCUCAGCCCAAUGCCGGGUGGCUGAGGCUUGUUUUUUUGACAGUUGUGGCUUUGGUAAUUUUGUAGGAAGGAUUUCUGUUGGUAGUUGGUAAAUAAUAUGAGCAGACACCGCUGGAACCAGCACAGUAGUUUUGUGAUGAUGCUGUUGGUCUGACUCCAUCUUUCCUAUGAGCGCAGUGCCUAAGCCAUGGGGCUUCUGGAGAGCCCAGGUCCCACACGAUACCCAUAUUGAGCUGCAAUGGCUCCUGGUGAAUGCGUGUUUCUGACUGUCCGUAGCAGCUCUGUGGCCCUCGGGCCAGCAUGGCUGCCGGCCACCAUUGCUCUGUUCCUGGUCCUCAGGGACUAGAGCAGGUUGAAUCCCUCGUCGCGCUGCGCUGUGUGCCUGUGGCAGCACGCCCCGCUGCUACGUGGCACCCUGCUGAGGUCACGCGUGCAGGAUGCUCUCCAGAGCCCUCUAACUUGGCUUGGCCACCUGACAUGCUCUGCCCACUAGAACGUGGGUGCAAGUGACUACAUGUGAGUCCUGAGCAUGGGUUAUAAAAGGUCUCACAUGUUAGCACACGCACCUCGGUGAGCUUUUGUUCUCUGCCACAAAGAAGAAACAUGCCUAGGUAGUCCCUGGUCCUCCAUCCCAGGUCCAGAAUGAGACCUGUGCCACACAGCCAUCUUGUGAACAUGACAAGAGAUCAUUAUUUUGUUUUGAGCCAUUGAGUCCUGGGUGGCUGCUUAUGUAGCACUUUUGCUGUGAUGGCUGAUUGAAACAGCAGCAGUGACCUGUGGAUACAUGGUUCCCAACGUCAACCUUCAUGGGGAUGCUGUGAUGCAGUUCGGAUUCUAUUGACACAUCUUCCAGCUCGCUGAUUCUUUCCUCGGCUGUGUCCAGUCCAGUCUACAGAUGAGUCCAUCAAAAGCAUUCUUCAUUUCUUUUGCAGUUUUUUUUUUUAUUUCUAGAAGUUCUUUUUGAUUCUUUCUUAGAGUUCCCAUCUCUCUGCUGGCAUUACGCAUCUGUUAAACUUUUUCCAUUAGCGCCCUUAGCACACUAAUCAUAGUUAUUUUAAAUUCCCUGUUUCAUAAUUCCAAAAUCUCUGCCAUGUCUGAGUGUGGUUCUCACACUUACUUUGUCUCAUCAAACCAUUUUUUGCCUUUUAGCAUACCUUGUGGUUUUUGUUACAAGCCAGAUGUAAGCUAUUGGGUAAAAGGCACUGAGGGAAAUGGGCCUUUAGCACGAGGGUUUAUGUUUAUUGGGCUGGGAGUUAGGCUGUGUUUACUGUCUGCUAUAGCAGGAAAGAUUCCAGGACACCAUUCUAGAAAAAGAAAUACAAAUUUGAUUACAGUGGUGGUAGAGAUAAGCCAUUUACUUCCUUGCCCCAGGGAACCACUGCAGGGGGCCUCUACUGCAGGGGGGUGGCAGCGCUUGGCUACCCCAGCUGUGCAGAAGGUGACUGGAGAAAUACAUUUCUCUCCAGCAGCACCAGGAAUACUGAGCUGGGAUCUGUAUGAUGGUUGGGGGUGGACUGUUUUAGCUAUGAGAUGUCUUAUGUAACCUCAUGUUAACCACAGGCAAAAACUUAGAAAAUUCUAAAUUUGGAGAGAGACAGAUAAAGGAUUCCAUUCCUGUUGAGUGCACUCAGCAGGCGGUCCAUCCAUGAGCCUCUGGGAGUACCACACCCAGGGAUCUCUGUAGGACCCGCAGGCACCCCUCUUUGCCCUAAGUGCUAACCCCUCACCUCCCCCACUCUGCAGGUGGCCCCUGAGAGGCAGUGAGAGAGCUCCUGUAGACACGGAGCAUUCAGAAACAGGCCCCUGUUUGUCUUGUCUGUAGACAAGGUCUGAGAAACCACAAACUUGAAGUACUGUGCAUUCUUCUGGAAAACUAAGGUUUCCAGUAGCCAGCCUGCUGAUUGUUAAGAACCAGAGAAGACAUAAAAGCUUAAAAAUCCUGCCACAAAAGGGAGCAAGAAUUGUGGAGCAGGUGUACUAAUGCAAAGACCAAUUAAACCCCAGAUAACAGCGUCAUCAAACAGAAUAUCCCAUGUGAAAGCAACUGGCAGAGAUUUAAGGAGGUGUCUGCUACUUCAUAUGCAAAGUAACAAUGCAAAAUUACAAGGAACAUGAAAAAUAAAAAAAAGCAUAUCACAGAAAGAAAAUAAUAAUGCCAAUAACUGAGCUCAAAGGUGCAGAAUUUUGUGAUCUAGCUGACUAAUCAAAAUAGGUGCUUUGGAGAAACUCAAGGAGCUUUAAGAAAACUCAGAAAGAUAAUUCAAUAAAUUCUUGAAAAAAACAAUACAUGUCAAAAUGAAAUUUUUUUCCAAAGAGAAAUAAUAAAAAAUAACAAGAUUCUGAAUUCAGUGAGUAAGAUGAAAAAAUACAAUAGGAACCACUGCAGGAAAGCAGAGCAAAUAGAAGAUAGAAUAAGUGAGUUAGAUGAUAGGAAUUUUGAAAUAACCCAGUUAGAGGCUAAAAGAGAAAAAAGAUUACAAAACUACAAAAAAGAAAAAAAACCCUAUGUGCUCUUUGGAAUCCACAGAAAGGACCAAUGUUUAGAACAAUUGGGAUUCCAGGAGUAAAGAGAGGGAGAAAGAAACAGUUUAUUUAAAGAUAACAGCUGAGAACUUCUCAAAUGUGGGGAGAGAAUCAAACAUCUAAAUAUAUGAAACUAAUAGACUACCAUAUUUUCUCAAUGCAGAAAGACCUCUCCAAGAGACAUCAUAAAAAAACUAUCAAAAAUCAAGCAUACGGAAAGAAUUCUAAAAAGCAGCUAAGGGAUAAAAAGAUUGUAACCUGUAAAGUAACCCCCAUAGGCUAUCAGUGGAUUCUCACUAGAAAUCCUACAGGCCAGGAAAGAGUGGAAUGAUAUAUUCAAAGUGUUAAAAGAAAAUAAUUGCCAGCUAAUAAUUCUUUAUCUGGAAGUUAUCCUUCGGCUAUGAAGGAGAAAUAAAGAUUUCCUAGUUAACAAAAGCUGAAGGAGGUCAUCAGUCACCACUACAUGAGCCUCACAAGAAAUGCUGAAAGAGGUUUUUUAAGCUGAAAUGAAAAGAAGCUAAUUAGUGACAUGAAAAUUUACAAAAGUAUAUGACACACUGGUAAAGGUAAAUAUGCAGUCAGAUCUAGAAAAUCCUAAAUUUGAAAUAGGAUAGUGUGUUAACAACUUAACUAUAGUAUAAAGGUCAAAGAAUAAGAGUAUUAUAAAUAGUUAUAGCUACUAUAAUUUGUUAACAAAUAGAAAUAGAAAUAUAAAACAGGUAAUAAGGACAUAAAUAUAAAAAAGGAGUAAAAGCAUGAAACUUCUGCAAACUAUUGAAAUUAAGUUUCUAUAAGCUUAAAAGGAACUGUUUUAUCUAUGAGAUGUGUUAUGUAAACCUCAUGUUAACCACAAGGCAAAAACUUAGAGCAGCUGCACUAAAGAUAAAGGUAGAAGAAACUGAGCAGAACACCAUGGAAAAUCACCAACUCACAAAGUUAGAUGGAAACAAAGGGGAAAAGAAACAAUGGAAAUACAAAACAACCAGAAGACAAUUUAGAUGAUGUCAGUAAGCCCUCAUUUAUCAAUAAUAACUCUAAGUGUACAUGGAUUAAAUUAAUAAGGCACAGAGUGGCUGGGUGGAUUAAAAAAACAAGACCCAAUUGUAUGCUGCCUAUAAGAGACUCAGUUCAGCUUUAAAAACACACAUCGGCUUAUAGUGAAAGAAUAGGAGAAUGAUAUUCCAUGCUUUUUUUUGGUGAAAACCAAAAACAAGUGGGGAUAACCCUACUUAUAUCAGACAAAAUAGACUUUAAGCCAAAAACAGGAACAAGGACAAGGAAUGUUGUUCUAUAAUGAUAAAGAGGUCAGUGCAUCAAGGAGAUAAUGAUGAUUGUAAAUAUCAAUGUACCCAAUAUUGGAGCACCUAAAUGUACAGGCACACAUCAUUUUAUUGUGCUUCACUUUACAGCACUUCUCAGAUACUGUGUUUUUUACAAAUUGAAGCUUUGUGUCAGCUGUGCAUUGAGCAAGUCUAUCAAUGCCUUUUCCCAAUAGCAUUUGCUCAUUUUUGUCUCUGUGUGUCAUAUUUUGGUAGUUCUCACAAUAUUGCAAACUUUGUCAUUUUUAUUGAUUUGUUUUGGUGACCUCUGAUUAGUGAUUCUAAUCACUGAAAGCUCAGAUGAGAGCUAGCACUCUUUAGCAAUUUUUUUUUCUUUUUUUUAGUGUACAAGAAGCAGUGCACUUUAUUAGGGGAAUUCAGUGUGCUUGAUGGACCAAGAUGUGCUGCUCAAGAGGGAAUCAGCCUCAAGUAUUUCUUAUUAAGCAUAUUCUGGAGUGGGUAAGGCAGACCCCUGAUAAACACAAACACCGGGGGACCUCUCCUGACCAUAAAGUCUGCCAUGGAAGUAGUGUUUUUCCAAGUAGACAUACAGCUGGAUGGCUGGCGCUCUGCAUUCACUGAGGAAAUCCAAGCAGUGCCCAAAGCAGACCUGUCAGGAUUCUGAGGGGUUGGGCAACGGGGACUGCCCUCGCCCACGACAUGCAACAGAACAGAUGGAUCAGCCUCCGUGGCACAAAGGCAUGAAGCCAUUCUGCAUUUGUGUCCUGAUCAGUAUCACUAAGUGGGCCGGCGCAGCUGCCUGCUGGCCGCACUGUGUCGCCUACUGCUCGCCGCUGGAUGCCGUCCUCAUUGUAGCCGAGGACACACCAUGACAGCCCCAGUAGUAGCAGCUGUGCCCUCGUCCCGAAGUGGAACGGCCCCUUCUUUAGAUUGUUGAUGGCUGCAGUGAAGAUUCAUUCAAAUGUGGAAAACUCCUAGAGGAGCUGUAAUUGCUGGACGAUCCUGGUCACCUGGGGUAACAGACAACCCAACCCAAGUCAAGUCGGUGCCACACAUCCUAACGGCUGCGAUUACUUGGGCAACUGUGAAAUCAGAGUAUUGGCACGUAAAGGGGGAAACAUGACAUUGGGAUCCCACACUUUUGUGCUUCCCCAAUAUCAAAAGGGAGGGUGGAGCCCAAAGGCCAUAGAGAUCCCCCUUAUGACAGAAAGAAAACAGGUUCCUAGGGAUAUGUUGGUGGAAUGGAACCAAAAUACCUUGAUUAUUACUGCCAGAUCAUUGGGUAUACCUAUGGCACAAGUAUCUAUGACAGACUAUGGCCUCGUUGCCCCUCGACCAAUUACGUGUACUAUGGGAAACUGGACCAUGAGAGUUUGCACCAAGCCCCAUCUCACCCUAACCCAUUAGAAUCAAGAGAAAACUAAGGAACAGUAUGAUGCGAUGUAUAGAAAUAGAACAGAUAAUGAAUGUGACAACAGAAGGAAAAAGAUAUUCAAGGUCAAUAAAAGAUAUAGGAGCUAUUAAAAUGACUGGAGGAAUAUUUCACAUUAAACCUCCUACAAUUAAUCAAAUAAAUAUUAAUCAUACAUUAGAAAACUUAAACAAAGAACAGUUGCAAGAUGUUCUAAUAAAGUAACUAAUAAAUCAUUUAUUAUUUAUUAAUGAUAAUGUAACAAAGUCAAAAUAAGGUGGUAAGAAUUGAAAAGAGAAUAAAAGCGUUCAUUCCCUUAAAUAAUGACAGCCUUGAACUCUGAUGUUGCGGCAAUCUAACGCAGGCUUGAUAGUUUUAUGCAAGCUUAUAUCCCCUGGAGCUUUUUAAAACUGGUAUUUAUUUGGAAAUGUAAUUGUCAAGGAAGUUAAGCUUAGUGGUUUAACAAGCUUAACUUGGUCAUUUGUCGACUGGCUAUGGUACCAUGUUGAAGAGUUGUUAUGCUUUUAUUGAUAAUAUUAGGAAUAUCAGUGCUUACAAUGGUCAUUGAGCUUUGAUUUAAAAGGGUGCAUCAGAGGAAAAAUACUCCCCAAAUAAGAUGAAGUAUUGUGAUUAAGACUGUAAGUGAUGUGGAAUCACAGGGAGGGUUGAUAUUUUGGUGAACUUAGAUUUGUACAGGGUAUUAGGCCCUUAAUAUUAAUUAGUAUGUGAGUGACUUGAAAUCACAGGACAUAUUGGUCCGAUAUGAUUUCAAAUACUUAUUUAUGACAAAGACAAAAAAAAGUUAUUUUUUGAAGUGUUAAAAAACGGAAAGAUGGAGAAGGCUCAUGUGACAGGUAUCUUACCAAUGAUGAUGAGAAAAUUCCUGGCUGACUACAUUUCUGGAGAAGGUUAAGCUGUAAUCGGGUUUAAGCAUUAGGCCCUGUUGGGUGACUUAGCCCAGCAGAAGUGACCCCAUAUUGGGCCUGUGUCUUUCUUUUUAAGAGCUGUUGUUUUGAUAUCAUGUCUUAUGUUCUCACCCAGAAGAAGUCCCUAGCUCAGUUGCUGAGGGGCCCCACUGGGGGAAUAGCAAUAAAAACAUUAAAAAACGCUAA